AGGGCGUAUGGGGAAUGCCUAGGCACACUCCGGCGAAGAAGGACGCAGCAAACAGCGAAAUGCGACGGUGAGCGGUAAGCACGUGAAGAGCCGUCGAUAUCCGAAUGGGGGAACCCACACGGAGUCAUAUCCGUGUAUCACAUGUCGAAUACAUAGACAUGAUGAGGCGAGACGCAGGGAACUGAAACAUCUAAGUACCUGCAGGAAGAGAAAAUAAGAAUGAUUUUCUGAGUAGCGGCGAGCGAAAGGGAAAGAGCCCAAACCGAUCUGAGGAUCGGGGUAGUAGGAUCAUCGAGGAAUCUGACAGAGGAUCAUAGAGGAAUCACAUGGGAAGGUGAGCGAGAGAGGGUGAGAGCCCCGUACUCGAAAUGAGAGACUGGAGAGAGAUGACACCUGAGUAGGGCGGGACACGAGAAAUCCUGUCUGAAUCAGCCGGGACCAUCCGGCAAGGCUAAAUACGAGAGAGUGACCGAUAGUGAACCAGUACCGUGAGGGAAAGGUGAAAAGAACCCCGGGAGGGGAGUGAAAGAGAACCUGAAACCAUAUGCCUACAAGAAGUCAGAGCCCGUUAAAGGGUGAUGGCGUGCCUUUUGUAGAAUGAACCGGCGAGUUACUGUAUGGAGCGAGGUUAAGCAGGAUAUGCGGAGCCGAAGCGAAAGCGAGUCUUAAGAGGGCGCGAGUUGCAUGCAGUAGACCCGAAACCGGGUGAUCUAGCCAUGACCAGGUUGAAGUUGGGGUAAAACCCGAUGGAGGACCGAACCGACCCCCGUUGAAACGUUGGCGGAUGAGUUGUGGCUAGGGGUGAAAUUCCAAUCGAACCCGGAGAUAGCUGGUUCUCCCCGAAAUAGCUUUAGGGCUAGCGUCGAGAGAAGAGUUGCGUGAAGGUAGAGCACUGAAUAUGUGAUGGCCCCAUCUCGGGGUACUGAGCAUAAUCAAACUGCGAAUGUCACGCCAACAUGCUCGGCAGUCAGACAGCGGGUGAUAAGGUCCGUUGUCAAGAGGGAAACAGCCCAGACCAUCAGCUAAGGUCCCAAAAUGUAUGCUAAGUGGAAAAGGAUGUGGAGAUGUACAGACAACUAGGAGGUUGGCUCAGAAGCAGCCAUCCUUUAAAGAGUGCGUAACAGCUCACUAGUCGAAUGACUCUGCGCCGAUAAUUUACCGGGGCUAAGCAUACUACCGAAGCUAUGGAUCCCAAGGGAUGGUAGGGGAGCGUUCCAUGAACGGAGAAGUACGACCGAAAGGACGUGUGGAGAUCAUGGAAGAGAGAAUGCCGGUGUGAGUAGCGGAACGUGGGUGAGAAUCCCACGCACCGAAAACCCAAGGUUUCCAGAGGAAGGUUCGUCCGCUCUGGGUAAGUCGGGACCUAAGGCGAGGCCGAAAGGCGUAGUCGAUGGACAACAGGUAGAGAUUCCUGUACCCGUAUAUAUGUGAAGGAAUGACGGAGAGAGGAAGCUGCAGCCAGCGGCUGGAAGAGCUGGUGCAAGCGAGAUAUCGGGAUGGCAGGCAAAUCCACCAUCCGAAACGAGAAGGCGUGAAGCGUACGGAAAGCUACGGCGAGUACGGAAGGCAGUGGAGGAACUUCCAAGAAAAGUUUCUAACGUUAAGUAUAUAUGGCCCGUACCGAAAAUGGACACACAUGGGUGAGGAGAGAAUCCUAAGGUGAGCGAGAGAACUAUAGCUAAGGAACUCUGCAAAAUGACUCCGUAACUUAGGGAGAAGGAGUGCUCAUAGAGAUAUGAGCCGCAGUGAAACGGCCCAAGCGACUGUUUACCAAAAACACAGCUCUCUGCUAAGCCGCAAGGCGAAGUAUAGGGGGUGACGCCUGCCCGGUGCUGGAAGGUUAAGGGGAGGGGUUAACGCAAGUGAAGCCCUGAACUGAAGCCCCAGUAAACGGCGGCCGUAACUAUAACGGUCCUAAGGUAGCGAAAUUCCUUGUCAGGUAAGUUCUGACCCGCACGAAAGGCGUAAUGAUUUGGGCACUGUCUCAACAGCCCGCCCGGCGAAAUUGUAGUACUGGUGAAGAUGCCAGUUACCCGCAACUAGACGGAAAGACCCCAUGGAGCUUUACUGCAGCUUAAUACUGGAAUUCGGUAAAUCAUGUACAGGAUAGGUGGGAGACUGGGAAGCAUUGGCGUCAGCCAGUGUGGAGUCGCUGGUGGGAUACCACUCUUGAUUUGCUGGGUUUCUAACCUGCGGCCGUGAAUCCGGUCGGGGGACACUGUUAGGCGGGCAGUUUGACUGGGGCGGUCGCCUCCAAAAGAGUAACGGAGGCGCUCAAAGGUUGGCUCAGCACGGACGGAAAUCGUGCAAUGAGUGUAAACGUAUAAGCCAGCCUAACUGCGAGACCGACGGGUCGAGCAGUAACGAAAGUUGGAGUUAGUGAUCCGGUGGUAUGUGAGUGGAAAUGCCAUCGCUCAACGGAUAAAAGCUACCCUGGGGAUAACAGGCUGAUCUCCCCCAAGCGUCCACAGCGACGGGGAGGUUUGGCACCUCGAUGUCGGCUCGUCACAUCCUGGGGCUGUAUUCGGUCCCAAGGGUUCGGCUGUUCGCCGAUUAAAGUGGCACGCGAGCUGGGUUCAGAACGUCGUGAGACAGUUCGGUCCCUAUCUGUUGCGGGCGAAAGAGAUUUGAAGGGAGCUGUCCUUAGUACGAGAGGACCGGGAUGGACGUACCUCUGGUGCACCAGUUGUCCUGCCAAGGGCAUAGCUGGGUAGCUAUGUACGGACGAGAUAAACGCUGAAAGCAUCUAAGCGUGAAACUCCCCCUAAGAUGAGAUCUCUCAUCCUUCAUGGAGUAAGGGCCCAGGAAGACUACCUGGUUGA
rnacentral:rRNA from 1 species